CUUCUGCGCUUUCACUUGAAAGUGAUGGCUCAGAUUUACAGAGGAUGUACAGAGAGGAGAUUCCACACUUCACCCUGAAACUAUCUAUUUGAGAGUGU